UAUAUACAAUUCUUAACAAAUUAUCAAAAUCCUGAAGGUCAGAUGAGGCUACGGGUUACAACAAUUACUAGGGCAUGGGUGGAUGGUUCUAACACAGAGGAAUUAGUUGGAGGAUUUGACCAGGAAACUACAGCUGUUGUAUUAGCAAGAUAUUUCUCUUUGAAAAUGGAGAUGGAGGUAAGGAAAGUUUUACAUACCUGGAUGGAUGUUUUUACUCCAUGAUCACUUGCCAAAAUCCCUAAUCUAUACUCG